rnacentral:lncRNA from 1 species
UGGAAGUGUAAUCCUUUUUUCACCCAUGUGAACCAGGAGGAAAAGGAGAGCGUUGAAGCGGACGAGCCCUAGCUUUGACAGCUCUUGACAUUGAGGCCGAAAAAGUGUUCCUCGGGUUUUUUCAUCAGAGUGUUUAGAGCUCGCUGCUUCUUUCGCCGGGAUUGAGAUGGAGUGAAGCCUUGAGCGCCGUCUGAGUCGCUUCUCUCCGCGUGGUGCCGACAUUCGACGUGCAGUGCGGUGCCGGCAUAUGUGAGGCAUCGGCAUGUGUUCCUGUGUGAGGGGUUUUGCAGCUUCUGAGAAUAAGCCUCAGUCCGCCGGCGCCAGCGUUAGUUGUGCUCUCCCGCAUCGCGCGCGCCUUGAUUCUCGUCUUCCGCGACCUUGCCUUCUCCCUUCUCUUCUGUCAACAAUUUCUGGUACAUGCGCUGCCAGAAUUCUUGGCGCUGAGAGUGCGGGGGUUGCAAGGGGAAGAGUUUCGGCUGAAGACGCUUGUCCGGCAACACACACAAAAACCGCGAAUCAUGCACAAAAGAACCGAACCGAAUACCUCCCUCUCUCGACACCGAACGCGGCUUCGAGGCCCCAGGCUCCCCGACGUGUGUUCCGCGCCGAGGGACACACGAGAGCUUCCACUCUCUACUGUUUCGUUUCCUGUUCAAAACGCUAGAGCCAAGCUCGAGUCGCCACUAUUCGGUUGUUCUCAUCGAUCGAGCGACUACGGAAUCGACAAAAAGCGACGUUGAAAAGGUCUCGUCUGACGCUGCGCUCGUCGCUUCCAACCCCCCCAGAGUGCUGCUCCAAGACUUUCGAGUCCCCGAGCCUCCCUAUCCCUGGCAGUCUGUCUCGCUACC